UAAGUCCUAUAUAUCCAGUAUUCUAGACGUUCUUUCUUUUAUUUGCCUAUAAAAAUAGAUUAUACACACUCUUGCACUUGUGAAUAAAACUAUCUGCUCCAUUGUAUAUGUAUCUCAGAAUGUCACCUUAGUUCAUCAUGAAUAACAAAAAACUACAACUAAAACCUUGCUUGUCAAAGUCUCAAAGAACAAGGUGCUCUUUCACACAACUAUACGCACAAAUUAACAUUAAAUAACAUUUACAGAAGCUUGUGAUUUCAUUGUCAUUGUGUCCUACCUGGGCUUUAAUAACUCGCCUUGCUCCUGGACUAAAUCUGCCCUUUCAAGUGUCUAUGUAUCUGAAGUUGUAUUUAGGAAUCAAGCCAAAAGGUAGCUCUGAACUGUCAAUGUAAGAUGUUAUGUAGGAAUGCAUUGUCUUAGUCUUUGAUUCAGUUCAGGCUUUUUGGAGAAAAAAUCACCUUUGAAUCCCAGUUAUAAAAUCUUUCUUGCAGAAUUCAGACUAUAAUUACAUAUCCGGUCUGGUAUUCUUGGAGAAGAAAUCGUCGCCUCUAGACUCUAAUCAGCCUCUAGAUUUAUGUACAACAUCUGAACCAAAAUGCCUCUUUAUUGCUUGAACUGACGAGGGCGAAAAAAUACACAUAUUCUUAAGAGUACAGAAAAUUCGGAGUGUACAUAUAAUUCCAGUUGACAUGGAUGACUAACAUAGAUCUUAUGACGUAGCUAAACAAUGUAGCUGGACAUAAGAGCACGUCUAAUAGGUUAGCUAAAUGAACUCCUUAACUCAUAGAUGUCUAAAAAAAGAGGUACUCUCAUUCCCUAAAUCACCAGCACAUCCUCAAAUCUUCUGCUCAUUACCUAUUUUUUAGUAACCUCUAGCAGUUAUCUAUUCAACAUUUAUAAAUAAAAAAUUCAUCUCCUUAUUCUUUCGUUAUCCUUUCCCCACUUCUCUCUCAAAUUUAUUAUUAAAAUAAACUAUAUAAUACAUCCUACUACUCUUUUUGCCACUUCUUACCAGGGCAUACCCUAAGAGUUCAUGCCUAAUUACACUCCAUGCCACUGAGUCAAAUAUUGACUGUCCAAAACUUUUCACUGCUUUACUACACGUCAAACGACAAACGCAAUUCUUCUUCCCUAUUUCAGAAACAAACGAAACUGCAGCUGUAGUACCGUCUGCUUUGCUUCCUUAUUUGCUUUGCUGUGAUUUCAAUUCAAAAUUCAAAUUCAUAUCAUUCAAACUCAUUCAGAUCUCAUCUCUUUUCAUACCGAAGCUCUCUCACCUCACACCUCCACCUGCUCCAUUCCUAGGUGUACUCGGUGAAGAUUUUGGGGGACGUUCAAACUUUGUGUUAUUGGAUGGAAGGCAAAAAGAUGAUGGUCAGUAGUGCGACAUUGGAGAAUUCUGUUUGUUGCAGGAUUCUCUGCGGCUUCUGAUGCAACACAAAUCUCAGUCCUUACUGAUGCCUUCAAGGUGGCACCUCUGCUGUUUCAAGCAUUUUCAACUAUGGAUGGAAGAGGAACGAUAUCUCUAGGUUUCCGGGUGAAACCAUUGCUCAAGUUCUUCUCCAGUUUCUAUGGCUUGGAAGCUCACAGAUCGCAAUUGUUGUCACCACUGCCAUUUUUCUCACUUUUCUAUCCUAUUUAUAUGUAUGUUUAUGUCAAACCCCCCCCCCCCCUCCGGCAUUCAUAUUUAUACAAGCUAUGGAUAUCCGGUUUUAGUUCAAUAAAGUCAUGCUUUAACAUCAUUCAUGUCGAGGGAGCAUUUCUCUCUACAUUGUUGCAGGUGACAGGAACUCUGCAGAAACAAUUGCUAAUGUGCUCACAUCAAUUCCUCGCAUUCCAGUUGAGCUGCUGAUUUGGUUAAAGGUUGGGGAUUCAAGAUUAGAAAUUGCCAGUCCAAAAUCUGCAAUAUGUGCAACCAUGUUUUUAUCAAGCAAAACGUUGCCUGGUUUUAGCAAUGAAUUAUGCUAGAUAUGCAGCGAUGAUGGAGAUAAUUGAGUGCACAGGCUACAUCAAUUGCUACUUUUAUUCUGGCAUGAAGGCUCAAUAUUUGAGGUUUGAUGGGCCUAUCAUUACUAAAAUAUUUAUGAAUACUCAGUUGCACAACACACAUACAAAUAUAAUGCUUUUUUUUACUACUCAGCUUGCUCAUUUUCUUUACAUUCAUUUUUAGGGCAUUUCUUUUCGAGCUUUCUUCUUCAUAAUCUCCAUCUCUCUCUUUCUUCUUUUUUUCAUUUUCUCUUAAAUUUAAGCAAAACCACUUGACUACUCCAUAAAUAUAUAUACCUAUGUUUUAGGCUGCAUUGUUCACUAUUCCACUCACAGGAAAUUGACUCCAAAUGUAUGAGCAUGUGUCUCGGAGUGCAUAGUUUUGUACAUUUUGAGGAAUUUUGUGGGAGUAAGAGAGAUAGUAAAAGGAGCACACAUUCAUAUCUAUGUUGUUAAUGUGAAUAGUUAAGAUGCUGAUCGAUCUGUCAUUUAUGUUGUUAAAAAGGCUUAGAAGCUCUCAGAUCCGAAGCCUCUAGCUGGAUACUUCGUCAUUACUUGCAACUUCCUAACAGACAACAGGCUGGUGGAAGUUUGUACACAGGGAGUGAGUAGUCAUCUUCUGAUGGCAACAUCACCGUCUCUGAAUUCUUCGCCUUCUGCUGACCCUCCUAUACCACACCUCUCAAGGUGAAAUCAGAAAUUUAGAGAGUUUCGGUCUAAAAUUUAUAAGGUUUCCAGAAUUUAUAAGCUCAAGUUUGUUCUCUAGGAGGGGCAAACACAUUGGGUCGUGCGACAAAGCAGUAGUGGCUACUGAAUGUUGAAGGAAUGAUGAAAGUUGUGGAUGAGAGCAGGAGAGGCUGAAGUAAAUUCAGUUGUAGCUGUGGAACAUAACAGUGAACGGUCUAGAGCUGCAUUUGUCAUUGGUGAAACAAGAAUCCUGUGUGAAUUUGCUGACAUUGCUCCUGAUGAGAAUUCUUUUGUCCAGAAACAGGAUGAGGUGUCCAGCCUAGCCUCUCAAUCAAGUUUGAUGAAUUUGAUGCUUCUCCAUUAACGGUAGAGCCUAUUACUUCAGCUGGAUAUAUUCAAAUGACCAAGGUGCAAGAGGCAACAAUUGCUGCUUGCCUUAAAUUUGCUGCUUGCCUUAAAGCUAAUAAUUGCAACACAACCGGAUCCAGAGCAUGGGAAUUCGCCAAAAAUUGUAACUGAAGAUAACAUCAAGUUACAGCUGUGUCAAGAUCGUGCAAAGAGGUAAAUGCUUUUGCUAAAGGUAGUGAAAUAAUUUGAGAUGGGGAGAAAUCCUUGCUGGGAGAAAGUGGGAUUGAAGAGAGGGAUAUGGACUGCUAGAGAAGACGAAAUCUUGACAAAAUUUUAUUACCCUUGGGGCCUUAUUGCAUUUCUUUACCACUUUUUACAUUUUAUAGAGAAGUUUGUGCAUGUUUCUGCGUAGAAGUACAUAGAGGACUGCGCGGGUGCGACUGCUGUUGCUGAUCUGUCACCUCCAUUAGCAUGUUCAAUACUGCUUCAUAGCGUUCAACCAGUUCUUUCUGAGGUUGCUGUUGGGGCUGGCUAUGCUAUUACUUAAGUGGAAUUCCUAUUUGAUUUGUGCUUGGCUAUGCUAACCAAUUGCAAUUUAAAGGGAGUCCGUCUAAGUUAUGUCGACUUAUGAGAGUAGAAAAUAUAUUAAAGAGUGAUGAUCCCUAACCAUCGAUCGCCAGGAGUGGCUAAAUAAUAUUAACAAAAAGGAAUGUAUCUUAAAUUAUAAUCCAAUGCGACCAAAUCAUAUGUAACAAAUGUGUGCAUAUACAUGUACUUUGUGGUUGAUGUCUUUGGAAUUUGCUGCCCAAUGUCAACCCUCAGGCACCCUUAGCUCUGUGUUGACAUUUAGAUUGAAAAAUGUAAGCUUUACGUUCGUUAGUUGAUAUGGAAUGGAAUUGAAAAUUGUGAGUGAAAUUUAAGGAAGGAGGAUGUGAUAGUGAGGAAUAAAAUGAUUGGGAUUGCUGUGAAGAGGUUGAGUGAGGUUGUGUGAUUGGAAUGAAAGUUAUGAAUGAUUGUAUGUGUAGUUUUUUCUUAGGAAUUUGUACAAAUUACAUAUAUUUUAAAUUAAGUUGAGCAUUUGUAUUA